GGGUUGUGAGGUUAAGCGACUAAGCGUACACGGUGGAUGCCCUGGCAGUCAGAGGCGAUGAAGGACGUGCUAAUCUGCGAUAAGCGUCGGUAAGGUGAUAUGAACCGUUAUAACCGGCGAUUUCCGAAUGGGGAAACCCAGUGUGAUUCGUCACACUAUCAUUAACUGAAUCCAUAGGUUAAUGAGGCGAACCGGGGGAACUGAAACAUCUAAGUACCCCGAGGAAAAGAAAUCAACCGAGAUUCCCCCAGUAGCGGCGAGCGAACGGGGAGCAGCCCAGAGCCUGAAUCAGUGUGUGUGUUAGUGGAAGCGUCUGGAAAGGCGUGCGAUACAGGGUGACAGCCCCGUACACAAAAAUGCACAUGCUGUGAGCUCGAUGAGUAGGGCGGGACACGUGGUAUCCUGUCUGAAUAUGGGGGGACCAUCCUCCAAGGCUAAAUACUCCUGACUGACCGAUAGUGAACCAGUACCGUGAGGGAAAGGCGAAAAGAACCCCGGCGAGGGGAGUGAAAAAGAACCUGAAACCGUGUACGUACAAGCAGUGGGAGCACGCUUAGGCGUGUGACUGCGUACCUUUUGUAUAAUGGGUCAGCGACUUAUAUUCUGUAGCAAGGUUAACCGAAUAGGGGAGCCGAAGGGAAACCGAGUCUUAACUGGGCGUUAAGUUGCAGGGUAUAGACCCGAAACCCGGUGAUCUAGCCAUGGGCAGGUUGAAGGUUGGGUAACACUAACUGGAGGACCGAACCGACUAAUGUUGAAAAAUUAGCGGAUGACUUGUGGCUGGGGGUGAAAGGCCAAUCAAACCGGGAGAUAGCUGGUUCUCCCCGAAAGCUAUUUAGGUAGCGCCUCGUGAAUUCAUCUCCGGGGGUAGAGCACUGUUUCGGCAAGGGGGUCAUCCCGACUUACCAACCCGAUGCAAACUGCGAAUACCGGAGAAUGUUAUCACGGGAGACACACGGCGGGUGCUAACGUCCGUCGUGAAGAGGGAAACAACCCAGACCGCCAGCUAAGGUCCCAAAGUCAUGGUUAAGUGGGAAACGAUGUGGGAAGGCCCAGACAGCCAGGAUGUUGGCUUAGAAGCAGCCAUCAUUUAAAGAAAGCGUAAUAGCUCACUGGUCGAGUCGGCCUGCGCGGAAGAUGUAACGGGGCUAAACCAUGCACCGAAGCUGCGGCAGCGACGCUGAUGCGUUGUUGGGUAGGGGAGCGUUCUGUAAGCCUGCGAAGGUGUGCUGUGAGGCAUGCUGGAGGUAUCAGAAGUGCGAAUGCUGACAUAAGUAACGAUAAAGCGGGUGAAAAGCCCGCUCGCCGGAAGACCAAGGGUUCCUGUCCAACGUUAAUCGGGGCAGGGUGAGUCGACCCCUAAGGCGAGGCCGAAAGGCGUAGUCGAUGGGAAACAGGUUAAUAUUCCUGUACUUGGUGUUACUGCGAAGGGGGGACGGAGAAGGCUAUGUUGGCCGGGCGACGGUUGUCCCGGUUUAAGCGUGUAGGCUGGUUUUCCAGGCAAAUCCGGAAAAUCAAGGCUGAGGCGUGAUGACGAGGCACUACGGUGCUGAAGCAACAAAUGCCCUGCUUCCAGGAAAAGCCUCUAAGCAUCAGGUAACAUCAAAUCGUACCCCAAACCGACACAGGUGGUCAGGUAGAGAAUACCAAGGCGCUUGAGAGAACUCGGGUGAAGGAACUAGGCAAAAUGGUGCCGUAACUUCGGGAGAAGGCACGCUGAUAUGUAGGUGAAGCGACUUGCUCGUGGAGCUGAAAUCAGUCGAAGAUACCAGCUGGCUGCAACUGUUUAUUAAAAACACAGCACUGUGCAAACACGAAAGUGGACGUAUACGGUGUGACGCCUGCCCGGUGCCGGAAGGUUAAUUGAUGGGGUCAGCGCAAGCGAAGCUCUUGAUCGAAGCCCCGGUAAACGGCGGCCGUAACUAUAACGGUCCUAAGGUAGCGAAAUUCCUUGUCGGGUAAGUUCCGACCUGCACGAAUGGCGUAAUGAUGGCCAGGCUGUCUCCACCCGAGACUCAGUGAAAUUGAACUCGCUGUGAAGAUGCAGUGUACCCGCGGCAAGACGGAAAGACCCCGUGAACCUUUACUAUAGCUUGACACUGAACAUUGAGCCUUGAUGUGUAGGAUAGGUGGGAGGCUUUGAAGUGUGGACGCCAGUCUGCAUGGAGCCGACCUUGAAAUACCACCCUUUAAUGUUUGAUGUUCUAACGUGGACCCGUGAUCCGGGUUGCGGACAGUGUCUGGUGGGUAGUUUGACUGGGGCGGUCUCCUCCUAAAGAGUAACGGAGGAGCACGAAGGUUGGCUAAUCCUGGUCGGACAUCAGGAGGUUAGUGCAAUGGCAUAAGCCAGCUUGACUGCGAGCGUGACGGCGCGAGCAGGUGCGAAAGCAGGUCAUAGUGAUCCGGUGGUUCUGAAUGGAAGGGCCAUCGCUCAACGGAUAAAAGGUACUCCGGGGAUAACAGGCUGAUACCGCCCAAGAGUUCAUAUCGACGGCGGUGUUUGGCACCUCGAUGUCGGCUCAUCACAUCCUGGGGCUGAAGUAGGUCCCAAGGGUAUGGCUGUUCGCCAUUUAAAGUGGUACGCGAGCUGGGUUUAGAACGUCGUGAGACAGUUCGGUCCCUAUCUGCCGUGGGCGCUGGAGAACUGAGGGGGGCUGCUCCUAGUACGAGAGGACCGGAGUGGACGCAUCACUGGUGUUCGGGUUGUCAUGCCAAUGGCACUGCCCGGUAGCUAAAUGCGGAAGAGAUAAGUGCUGAAAGCAUCUAAGCACGAAACUUGCCCCGAGAUGAGUUCUCCCUGACUCCUUGAGAGUCCUGAAGGAACGUUGAAGACGACGACGUUGAUAGGCCGGGUGUGUAAGCGCAGCGAUGCGUUGAGCUAACCGGUACUAAUGAACCGUGAGGCUUAACCUUACAACGCCGAAGGUGUUU
rnacentral:rRNA from 1 species